rnacentral:rRNA from 1 species
UCUUGAUGAUUAAGAUAAUAAAUUUUAGGCAGUAGUAAUAAGUUUAAAUUUAAUGUGUUAAUUAUUUUGUUGGGGCGACAGGAGUAUAAGAAGUAACUGCUUUGAAAAAAUAAUUAAUUAUUUUUAUGAUGUUUUGUUUGUGAUCCUUCUAUGAAGAUAAUAGAUCAAGUU